GUCUGCAGGUGGAGGUAUGUGUGUGGUCACAUGUGGAGGCUGUCUGAUGGUUUUUGUUCUAUUAACCCCUUCAGGACCCGGUUCCUAUAAGGUGUCAGGACGUGGCGGUCUAUUUCUCCAUGGAGGAGUGGGAGUAUGUAGAAGGACACAAGGAUCAGUACAAGGAUCAGGUCAUGAUGGAGGAUCAGCAGCCCCUCACAUCACCAGUCAGAUCCAGUAAGAGAACAGCACCAGAGAGGUGUCCCCGUCAU